GGCUCAGAUUGAACGCUGGCGGAAUGCUUUACACAUGCAAGUCGAACGGCAGCACGGGUGCUUGCACCUGGUGGCGAGUGGCGAACGGGUGAGUAAUACAUCGGAACGUGCCCAGUCGUGGGGGAUAACACAGCGAAAGCUGUGCUAAUACCGCAUACGUCCUGAGGGAGAAAGCGGGGGACCGUAAGGCCUCGCGCGAUUGGAGCGGCCGAUGUCUGAUUAGCUAGUUGGUGAGGUAAAGGCUCACCAAGGCGACGAUCAGUAGCUGGUCUGAGAGGAUGAUCAGCCACACUGGAACUGAGACACGGUCCAGACUCCUACGGGAGGCAGCAGUGGGGAAUUUUGGACAAUGGGCGAAAGCCUGAUCCAGCCAUUCCGCGUGAGUGAAGAAGGCCUUCGGGUUGUAAAGCUCUUUCGGCAGGAACGAAACGCUCUAGAUUAAUACUCUGGGGUAAUGACGGUACCUGAAGAAGAAGCACCGGCUAACUACGUG
rnacentral:rRNA from 1 species